UACGUAGGGUGCUAGCGUUGUCCGGAUUUAUUGGGCGUAAAGGGUGCGUAGGCGGUUCGGUAAGUCUCAUGUGAAAUCUACAGGCUCAACUUGUAGUCUGCAUGAGAAACUGCCGGGCUUGAGUAUGGGAGAGGUGAGUGGAAUUCCUGGUGUAGCGGUGAAAUGCGUAGAUAUCAGGAGGAACACCUGUGGCGAAAGCGGCUCACUGGACCAUAACUGACGCUGAUGCACGAAAGCUAGGGGAGCAAACAGG
rnacentral:rRNA from 1 species